GAUGAACGCUGGCGGCGUGCCUAAUACAUGCAAGUCGAGCGAACAGACGAGGAGCUUGCUCCUCUGACGUUAGCGGCGGACGGGUGAGUAACACGUGGAUAACCUACCUAUAAGACUGGGAUAACUUCGGGAAACCGGAGCUAAUACCGGAUAAUAUAUUGAACCGCGUGGUUCAAUAGUGAAAGACGGUUUUGCUGUCACUUAUAGAUGGAUCCGCGCCGCAUUAGCUAGUUGGUAAGGUAACGGCUUACCAAGGCAACGAUGCGUAGCCGACCUGAGAGGGUGAUCGGCCACACUGGAACUGAGACACGGUCCAGACUCCUACGGGAGGCAGCAGUAGGGAAUCUUCCGCAAUGGGCGAAAGCUGGACGGAGCAACGCCGCGUGAGUGAUGAAGGUCUUCGGAUCGUAAAACUCUGUUAUUAGGGAAGAACAAAUGUGUAAGUAACUAUGCACGUCUUGACGGUACCUAAUCAGAAAGCCACGGCUAACUACGUG
rnacentral:rRNA from 1 species